GAUGAACGCUGGCGGCGUGCCUAAUACAUGCAAGUCGAGCGAACAGACGAGGAUCUUGCUCCUCUGACGUUAGCGGCGGACGGGUGAGUAACACGUGGAUAACCUACCUAUAAGACUGGGAUAACUUCGGGACACCGGAGCUAAUACCGGAUAAUAUAUUGAACCGCAUGGUUCAAUAGUGAAAGACGGCUUUGCUGUCACUUAUAGAUGGAUCCGCGCCGCAUUAGCUAGUUGGUAAGGUAACGGCUUACCAAGGCAACGAUGCGUAGCCGACGUGAGAGGGUGGUCGGCCACACUGGAACGGAGACACGGUCCAGACUCCUACGGGAGGCAGCAGUAGGGAAUCUUCCGCAAUGGGCGAAAGUCUGACGGAGCAACGCCGCGUGAGUGAUGAAGGUCUUCGGAGCGUAAAACCCUGUUAUUAGGGAAGAACAAAUGUGGAAGUAACUAUGCACGUCUUGACGGUACCUAAUCAGAAAGCAACGGCUAACUACGUG
rnacentral:rRNA from 1 species